UGAAUUCCAAUAGAAGAUCCAGGCCUGUCCCAGGCCCACCCAGAUCUGAGCCAACUUGGGACUCCACCCACAGGCCCCUCUAACUAAAAUCUCUCAUUAUAAAUGAGUUAAGCUGGAAUCCUCUCUUUGCAGAGGUUCCAAACAUGCCAGCCUUACACCUGGCAUGCUAGGACCCUCUGUCCACUGGAAUACUGUUUGAUGCCCUUCUUAUCUCUUUAUCUUCACCUAUUUCCUUAACUACACUUUAACCUUACUUUCAAACCCCAUAAUAAACAUCUUUUAUUAAUCUAGCUUUUCGGGCCUAUAAAUUCUUUUAUAGGGAACUCUCACUUCUAGACUGCAUUUAACUCUGUAUACUUGCGCCGAAUCCAAAGGGGUUGCAGGGGAACUCUACUUGACUCCCUGUACCCCAAGCCUGCCACUAGACCUCAAUUAAACCCUAAUUUCAUUUAGGUACCCCAUAUCUAGACCUCAUCAAUGAGAUGGUGAGCUCUCUAAGGGCAGGCUCUUUUGCCUCUUUUCACCUUCAGGGCACUGUAUAGUAGCUAGCAUUUAGGAGGCACAGCAUCUAUUAACUGACCAGAGCUUUUGCACAUACUUGUUAUGAGCCAGAACUUGAAACAAGAUGAUAACUCAAUGGAAUUGAUAGAAACAAUGCUUAACACCUUUGAGAGUUCAUACAUUAGUUCACAUGUUUGGGAGAUUUCAGGGUUCAGUAUGAGAUAUCCAAAUUCACACUUCCCAUAAUCCCACUCUCAGAGGAGGAGUCAACCUUUGAGUUUACACCUCUAAAAGAGCAUAAAAAGAGCUUCAGUCAGUCAGUCAGUUUGGAAGAUUGCCAGGAGUCGGAGUUGAGUUAGAGGCAGAAGCUGGCAGAGGCAAAAGACAAGCUGCAAGAGCUCUUGGAACCAAGGAGGGAGAGAGUCCUCUAAGAAAGCUAACUGGGCCCAAGGAAAGAGACAAGAAUUGGAAGGAGAAAAUAAACGUUUGGAUUUUAUUAGCUGGCUGCAUUUGA
rnacentral:lncRNA from 1 species